rnacentral:misc_RNA from 1 species
AAGUCGUAACAAGGUUUCCGUAGGUGAACCUGCGGAAGGAUCAUUAACACGAUCUGCUCCUGAUUGGGGGUAUAGGCCACUGGAUGAAUGGUGAGCGCAUUGAGUUGCGCGUUUUUAUUCUCGUUUCUUUGUACCCACUCUGAUAGUAUUGACAUGCGAUCCCGCCACACAGGCGGACGAAUCAAACGAUACGUACAAUUCUCAGCAACGGAUAUCUUGGUUCUC